ACCAGCAUGGCAUAGUGGUUUGAGUAUUGGACUAUGAUUCUAGAGACCAGGGUUCAUUUCCCAGUUUUACCA